UUGAAUCUAUGCUAGUUCCCAACAGGAACAACAAGUUUCAGCAUGUAAGUUCACACUACAGUUUCUCUAUUUCAGUUCUCAUAAAUCCCUGUUUUAUAUCUUCUGUUUAGAUUAAUUUUUUAUUUGAUCAAACAUUUGAACAGACAGAAGCUAUGGUGGCUUGAAUGAAAAAUAUCCCCUUAGGCUCAUGUAUUUGAACACUUGGUCUCUAGCUGGUGGUGCUGUUUGGGGAGACUAAGGUAGAUAUUUGGGAGAUAGAGCUUUUUGGGGAGAAGCACGCACCCAUUUUCUCUGGUGUUCCCUUUGGCCUGGGAUGUCUUACGAUAUCUUGGGUCGUUUCAACAAUCCUAUCCUUCAAGGAUCAAUUCAGAUGUCAUACUUACAUUUGCCCCAUCCAAUAGACAACUACCUGUCUUAUCUCUUAAUGCAUAGAGCUCUUAUGACCCUAGUGUUUCCUUUCUUUUUUUCUUGUAUUCUAGCCAGUUGACUGUCUCUUCCAAUGACUGAAUUCCUUGAGUGACGCUUCUUCUAUUCUCCUGUUUGAAUGUGGGGAGAGUGUGAAUGUAGUCCUUUAUUACCACAAAUUACACAGUUCUAUUUCUUGCAUUUUUGGACAUCUCAGAGGUAAGCACCUCUGGAGUGCAAGAGAUGAGCCUAACCCUGAGAAAACCACCUUUAUGACCAUGGUAUCUCCCCUGCCAGGGAAGAAGUUCCUUCUGGCAGACACCAUUUCCUUUGCUUUCCUUGAAGAGAAUCAACUCACACAACCAAGGAAUGUCCAAAGCUUCCUGUAAUGUCUGUGUGUGAGUCUGCAGGACACCUGAAGAGUUUGCCAAUUUGGUUCCUCUUAUCAGCGACAAUCUGAUACAAGGAACUGAAGUAAUGACCCCUAUUAAAUUCUCAUCAAUAUUGUCCCGGCGGGCAUUCUGUUGUUUUUGCACAGCUGUUAAAGAAAACAAAUGUGUUGACCAAUGAUCUGCCAUUAGAGUAAGCAGUGGGUUAAGAAAAACCUGGAGGUCUGGAAUUCCAUAUUUGAAUUUACACCAGAUACAUUCUUAUCAUAAGUUUACUGGGAGAGCAUUUGCCUGUGUUCAGUCUCCAGCACAAAAUAAAGAAUAUAAAAACAGCAACCUGCUUUGAGAUGGAGAAUUAUGGACAGAAUGUUUAAUGGGAAAUAAAUUUGGUACAACCUCUGUGGAAGUUAAAGGAAGCAGAACUUUCAGUGAGCAAAUGCCAUCAUUACAAGUACAAGCUCUAUUUGCCAGGAGGGAUGUGAGUGAGUUUUCCUAUAGGGUUACUUGAACUAGAAUAAUGGGACUGAGUCCUUUGUACCCUGUCAUCCACAAGGUACAGACUAUAGACAGAGGGGUGAGGCUAUGACAGCUAACAAAGUGGCUGGCAUCUGCCAAAUUGAAACUCUAAAGGAGAUGCUAGCUAUACUCUAUUGCUGGUUGCCAAUAGCUGGGGAGUCUGUCCUUCUGCUCUGUGGGGGGGGCACUUAAAAAAUGCAGCAUACUUGUCUGUCUGUUACACUCUUUCUGCAGGCCAUUAGAUCUGACGACAUGGCGAAGGUUCUGAGUACAACUGUUCUUUUAAUCUACAAAACCUAUGCAAAGGUUGAAUUGAGCUUCAGGCACAUUGCCUGCCUUUUCUACUACGAGUGAGCACUGCUGCUUUGUGGGUUCUUACUGGUGGAGAUAAUGCAGAACCUCGCCUCUGUAUGUUUCUUUCAGGACAUGGUUGUUAGACAUCUCCAUUUCCCAAAACUCCCCCGUGAAUCACUGUGAGCCAAGUUUAGUUUUUAUGGCCCACUUGUAGCUGUUUUAUCUCUUUUUAAUUAUCAGGGUUAAUUACUCCUUCUCUGCUCCAGCUUUCUCUUCCUACCUUUUUUUAUGAUUUCUCCCCCACCACCCCACAAGGAACUAAUUGGAGCAACAGGAGCAAAAACCAUAACUUAAGCUUUAAUGUCUUUAAUAUGUGCCUGAUUAAAACAGCACCACUUCUGAGGAACAGACAUUCUAGAACUACAGAAACUAAAGUUACAUAGCCCGAUGACAGCCAUCCAGGGCCACUCUCACUUGGAGGACACCAUUCCAUCUUUGUAGCUUAUGA